UACGUAGGGUGCAAGCGUUGUCCGGAAUUAUUGGGCGUAAAGAGCUCGUAGGCGGUCUGUCACGUCGGCUGUGAAAACCCGAGGCUCAACCUCGGGCCUGCAGUCGAUACGGGCAGACUAGAGUUCGGCAGGGGAGACUGGAAUUCCUGGUGUAGCGGUGAAAUGCGCAGAUAUCAGGAGGAACACCGGUGGCGAAGGCGGGGUCUCUGGGCGAGUAACUGACGUGGAGGAGCGAAAGCGUGGGGAGCGAACAGG
rnacentral:rRNA from 1 species